AUGAGCUCCUCAACUCAGGCUUCAACCCCAACCAGGGCAUCUUCAAGACCACCAACGAGGGCUUGCUGUAUCCCAACCCCGCCGCCAAGAUGCUGGUGGGAGAAUCCUUCACGCGACACUACUACUUCCUGGGCAGGAUCCUGGGAAAGGUGGUGGAGCUGAAGACGGGGGUUACAGACCUCGACUACAGCCUCAACAAGCAGAUCCGGCCGCGCUGCCUGGCCUUCAGGCAGGGUCGAGCCAACUUGGUCAACUUCAGUGGCUGCGCAUUUUUGACCACGUUCUCUGCUGGGCUUUAAG